ACUGAGACACGGUCCAGACUCCUACGGGAGGCAGCAGUGGGGAAUAUUGGACAAUGGGCGAAAGCCUGAUCCAGCGACGCCGCGUGAGUGAAGAAGGCCUUCGGGUUGUAAAGCUCUUUCGGUAGGGAAGAUAAUGACGGUACCUACAAAAGAAGCUCCGGCUAACUUCGUGCCAGCAGCCGCGGUAAUACGAAGGGAGCUAGCGUUACUCGGAAUUAUUGGGCGUAAAGCGUACGUAGGCGGCUUAGUAAGUUGGGAGUGAAAUCCUUGGGCUUAACCCAAGAAUUGCUUUCAAAACUACUAAGCUAGAGUAUCAGAGGGGAUGGCGGAAUUCCUAGUGUAGAGGUGAAAUUCGUAGAUAUUAGGAGGACCACCGGUGGCGAAAGCGGCCAUCUGGCUGAUUACUGACGCUGUUGUACGAAAGCGUGGGGAGCAAACAGGAUUAGAUACCCUGGUAGUCCACGCAGUAAACGAUGAGUGCUAGAUGUUGGGGUUUUUCUUCAGUGUCGCAGCUAACGCGUUAAGCACUCCGCCUGGGGAGUACGGUCGCAAGAUUAAAACUCAAAGGAAUUGACGGGGACCCGCACAAGCGGUGGAACAUGUGGUUUAAUUCGAUGCUACGCGAAAAACCUUACCAGAUCUUGACAUGAUAGUCGUACAGCUAGGAAACUAGUUGGUCGGUUCGGCCGGGCUAUCACAGGUGUUGCAUGGCUGUCGUCAGCUCGUGUCGUGAGAUGUUGGGUUAAGUCCCGCAACGAGCGCAACCCUUACCCUUAGUUGCCAUCAGGUAAAGCUGGGAACUUUAAGGGAACUGCCGGUGAGAAACCGGAGGAAGGUGGGGAUGAUGUCAAGUCAGCAUGGCCCUUAUGGUCUGGGCUACACACGUGUUACAAUGGUGGCUACAAUGAGAUGCAAAGAGGUGACUCGGAGCAAACCUAUAAAAGCCAUCCCAGUUCGGAUUGUACCCUGCAACUCGGGUGCAUGAAGUUGGAAUCGCUAGUAAUCGCAGAUCAGCACGCUGCGGUGAAUACGUUCCCGGGUCUUGUACACACUGCCCGUCACGCCAUGGGAGUUGAUUUUACCUGAAGUAGGUGGGCUAACCGCAAGGAGGCAGCUUAUCACGGUAAGAUUGAUGACUGGGGUGAAGUCGUAACAAGGUAGCCGUAGGGGAACCUGCGGCUGGAUUACCUCCUUA
rnacentral:rRNA from 1 species